rnacentral:rRNA from 1 species
GACGAACGCUGGCGGCGUGCUUAACACAUGCAAGUCGAACGGAAAGGCCCUGCUUUUGUGGGGUGCUCGAGUGGCGAACGGGUGAGUAACACGUGAGUAACCUGCCCUUGACUUUGGGAUAACUUCAGGAAACUGGGGCUAAUACCGGUUAUGAGCUCCUGCUGCAUGGUGGGGGUUGGAAAGUUUCGGCGGUUGGGGAUGGACUCGCGGCUUAUCAGCUUGUUGGUGGGGUAGUGGCUUACGAAGGCGUUGACGGGUAGCCGGCCUGAGAGGGUGACCGGCCACAUUGGGACUGCGAUACGGCGCAGAAUCCUACGGGAGGCAGCAGUGGGGAAUAGUGCACAAUGGGCGGAAGCCUGAUGCAGCGACGCCGCGUGCGGGAUGACGGCCUUCGGGUUGUAAACCGCUUUCGCCUGUGACGAAGCGUGAGUGACGGUAAUGGGUAAAGAAGCACCGGCUAACUACGUG